rnacentral:lncRNA from 1 species
UAGAAAAGAAGUGGACGUUAAUUUUAAACAAGAAGAAGGGAAAGACUCGGCUAAGGCUUGCAAGUGUUAGGAGAGCAAAAAAAAGCAAAAGGAGAUCAAGGUACGUGGAUAGUCAAUCCUUGUACUAAAAUAUUUGAGUAUGAUGUGUUGUCAUUGAAAAUGAAAUGAAAAUGAAAAUGGUGCAAGGAUAAGGCUUAUUUUGUUUUGUUUAUGUAGUAUUGCAUCUCCAUUGGGUGAUUAUAGGUUUGAUUUCGUACAACAGAGUUGUUGUUCGAUUAUUUUUUAGGUUUAAGUGAAGUUAAAGUUAUCAUUUCUUGAGGAUUUAAUGACAUUCUAAGUUUUCUUGUCAAUUUUUGAGUUUUUUUUUUCUUUCUUUCUUGAUGCUUCUGUAGUAUUUUUUUAUUGGAUAACAAAAGGAAUUAAGGUUUAUUCCUUGAUAAUUUAAAUGAUAUUCCAAACUUUCUUUCAACUCUUGAGUUAUUCAGGUUUCUGUUUUUGAUGUUCCUGUAUUUUAUCUUGUUGGAUACAAGAGAGGGAAUAAAUUUUCAUUUUUUGAUGUUCAAUUUCAUUUUCAUUUUAGGUUUUCUUGCCAUUUAUUGAGUUUGUUGGUUUCUGGUUUUAUUUUCUUUAAUUUAUUUUUGCUGAAUAACAAAAAUCUUUAUGAACAAGGGACUAUAAUCAUGGGUUUGGCUACAUAAGGUUUCGAGUUUAGGAUUUGUGUUGAUAUAGGGCUAGAAGCCCGUGCUUAAACCUUAAACACCCAAAUGGGACACCCACAUUGUCGAUUAAACUAAUAAAAUCAAGAGAUAGGUUUGAAUGUUAACGUUGGAUUGGUUGUCUGAGGUUAAACUUUAAUUCUACAGACCUACCGUUAAUCCAGGAUACAUGGUUGUCAAGUAAAUUCCGAAGGUCUGUGUUUUGUUUUCAAGCUUUGAGAUAAACAAAUGAGAGAUAAAUUAAACUUAAACCUAGUUGAUUUAAAUGUGUGAUUUUUUUCUUUCAAUGUGAACCGUUUCAUUAUUCGAGGAUUUAAAUGAUAUUUCGGGUUUUAUUUCGUUUUUUGAAUUUCCUUUAGAUCUAAAAAUGAAAAGUGUAAAAGAAAAAUAAAUGAAACCUAAAGAACCCUAAUCCUAAAUUUGGAUGAAUUUAGGAGUGAACGACAAAAGAGAUAGGUCGAACCAGUCCUCGAAAUGGCACUUGACCUGAACCAUUCCCAUCCAACACGGAGUCAAUCCUAAAAGAACCCAAAUCUUGAAUUUAAGGAUUUAGAGGUGAACAACAAAAAGGGAAGAUCAAGCAAGUCCCCGGGAUGAUACGUACUCAAUCCAACCUCCUGUCUAUUCAAUGAAGAUCCGCCAAGGAUAGCAAGAUAGUUGAUUAGUUGGGCAAAUGAAUCCUUGAUUAUUGCCUCUUGUUAUUGUGCAUUUAUAUAUACAUGGCGAGUAACAAACCCAUAACAACAUGAGUGGAGUUUUUACUCAAAAGAUAAAAAAGGAAUAAAGUAAAUUAUAAAGAAAUAUUAAUAUUAAGAUAUAAUAUUCUAAUAUUUUCUCUCAAAAUAGUGUUCGGACGUCAAGUUUGGACUUUAUCUCUAGAAAUCUUGAUAACGGUGAAGAUUUCGUGAAAUCAUCUGCUAUCUUAUCUCUUGAUAUACGUGCGACUUGCAAUUCUUCACUCUUAACUAGCUCCUGUACAAAAUUAAAAUUUAGUGACAUGAGCUUCAUCCGAGAAUGGAAUAUUUGAUUAUGCGUCAAAUGUUUAACACUUAAGGUGUCUGUCCAUAAUUGAGAACAUGCAACUUAUACUAAACUUAUUUUUUUAACAAAUUUCGUAUUCAUAUCACUUCAAUUGUUUCUUGACAGACCAAGAAACCAGAUUGUUGUCGAUAAAUAUUGCAAACCCCCCAGUACUUCGUCUAUCAUCUGUACAACCAGCUCAAUCUGCAUCCGUGUAUGUGUCUAUCCGGGAAGAAUUUGAGGGUGCAAAUAAUAUACCUUGCAAAUACCUCAAAACCUAUUUCGUAAUAGCCCAAUGAAAAAUGGUCGGGUGUUGAAGGUAUUGACAUAGCUUGUUCACUACACACGCUAUAUCUAGACGAGUGUUCACAAUUAAGAUACAGAAG